rnacentral:lncRNA from 1 species
UUUUUUUUUUUUUUCUUUUUGAAGGAAGGUUUCAGUAUAUAGUCCUGGCUGGCCUUGAACUACAGAAAUCUGCUUACUUCUGCUUUCUGAAUGCUGGGAUCAAAGUCUACAUUUUUGAUCACCAGACUUCUGCUUCCACAUGCAAACCAUGCACAAGGAAGGAAGAGAGGUUCAAGGGAGGAAGAGAGGUUCAAGCAGGUCAGACAACUAACUCUCUCAGUUCCUAAGGAGAGAAGCCAGGAUUCAAGUCCAGAGCUUAGCCUCUUCCUUGUCCCCUGCCACAAAAGGUUCUUGGAAGGCAGGCGUGGUGGCACACGCCUUUAAUCCCAGCACUCGGGAGGCAGAGGCAGGCAGAGGCCAGCCUGGUCUACAAAGUGAGUUCCAGGAUAGCCAGAGCUAAUCAGAGAAACCCUGUCUCGGGAAAAAAAAGUUUUUUGGAUAUAGGAGCAAGAGGAUGUAGAGUCACAUCGUUGGUGUCCCCGUAUCUGGGGUGGCUUACAGACUAGUCCUGAUGGGGCCUUACCCUUGAAGGUGGUGGGGAUGUGGUUCUCCAUAAGGGUAGCAGGUGAGAGAUCACUGUGCUCUGGUCUGCAGCAAAGACAGAGACAGAGAGCGAGAAAAGGGCUCAUGCCCAGAGGUAUUUAGAGAACAGAACCAAGUCCCAGGAAAGAGGAAGGAGUCAAGGAAGAUGCUCAUACUCUGGUGUGCACAGUGCUGGGCUGCAGAAGGUUGUUUAGCGGUAGCCCAGCCUGAGGCCAGGCUGAGAUCAGACUCCGGGGGAAGGGGAAGCCAUAUGUUCUGUAGAAAAGAACAGGAUCUCAGAGACAGGCUGGAAGUUCAUGCCUAGAAUUCCUGUGCUUGGGAGGCAGAGGUAUAGACAGGGUUGCCAUCAGUUUGAGGCUAACUGAGCUACAGACUGAGACCCCACCACCACCACUUCACAAACCCAAUACCAAAAACCACGCAAACAAAAGAACAUCAAACAUUGGUAAGAUAGCUCCGUGAGUCAAGGUGCUUUGCCACCAAGCCUGAAGCCGAGUUCAGUCCUCAGAACUCACUUGGUGGGAGAGGGAGCCAACUCCAUCAGUUGUUUGCUGACUCAUGCACACAGCAGCAUCUGGGCACCCCAACAUACGCACGCACGCACGCAGGCAGGCAUCAUGCACGCAUGCAAACAAAGAAAAAGUAAAAGAUUUCAGGCUUAGCAGUUAGAAAAACCGAGACAAAACCCUCUUCGCAGGACAGAAAGAUGGCUUGUCUCAAACUGUGUGGGGUCCGUAAAUAGCUGGGAAAGACCCAUAUUUUCAUUCUGUCCUGUUAAUAAUUGUUAUUAUCUUGGCUCUUUAACACAUAAUGUUUGGAUGUUACUUUUCCCAUUAUUGUUAUGUCAUCACUGUCAAAACACAUAGUCAUGUUUUUCUUUUUUUUUUUUAAUUAGGUAUUUAUUUCAUUUACAUUUCCAAUGCUAUCCCAAAAGUCCCCCACACGCUCCCCCACCCACCCACUCCCACUUCUUGGCCCUGGCGUUCCCCUGUACUGAGGCAUAUAAAAUUUGCACGACCAAUGGGCCUCUCUUUCCACUGAUGGCCGACUAGGCCAUCUUCUGAUACAUAUGCAGCUAGAGACACGAGCUCCGGGGGGUACUGGUUAGUUCAUAUUGUUGUUCCUCCUAUAGGGAUGCAGACCCCUUCAGCAACUUGGGUACUUUCUCUAGCUCCUCCAUUGGGGAUAGUCAUGUUUUUUGGGACUUUUGAUCACAAAUUCCUGGAGCUCUGCCUGUGCUGGCUUCCACAGUGCUGGGGUCAAAGGCACUUACCACCAGCCGACUCCUCACUGUAUUUUUGAUGGUUGAGAAACAAGAUUCUGGAGUUAGAUCACUGGGAAUUGGCACCUGUAAAAAUCUUGUUAGAUUACCAAAUGGUUUCCAAAAAGGGUUGUUUUGCAUCUAUUGGUGGUGCACGCCUUUAAUCCCAGCACUCGGGAGGCAGAAGCAGGCAGAUCUCUGAGUUCGAGGCCAGCCUGGUCUACAGAGUGAGUUCCAGGACAGUCAGGGCUACACAGAGAAACCCUGUCUCGAAGAAAAAAAACAAAGCCAAAACCAAAAAGGAUUGUUUCAGACUGCAGUCUCAGUAUCAAUGGAGGAGAGAAGCAAUGCCAUGCUACUUUGACCAGAAUUGGGGAAGAAGAUUUUGAAUAAAUAUUUGAUAAAGUGAAAAUUAUUAAAUAUACUUUUAUUUGCCCUUUCUUCUAUUUAUAGUGAAAUUAAAUGUUUUUCAUUUCCUGUAUCUACUUCUUU